CCCGACUCCAUGGCUUGAAAAUCACGCAGGUAUAAAGCUAUAUUUGGAUAUUUGCCACCAUGAUUUGCUUAAGGAAGAGAUCAUCUAGAAAAGCACACAGCAAAGGAAGUGUGUGUGAAUACUGAAUUGUCCAUUGCUUUUAGUUGGCAGAAGUGUAAAAGUGCAAAUUCAUGCGAACCCUGGGUGGAAAGGGACAGACUGUACUCCAGAGCUGUCACUGAGGAACCAGUUCCCUCAGAGAGGCCAGAGC